rnacentral:rRNA from 1 species
GUUUGAUUCUGAAAAUAGUUGAACGCUGGCGGGAUGCUUUACAUGCAAGUCGGGCGCGUGGCGCACAGGAACCUCGAUCAAUUACGGCAGUGGCGGCAGGUGAGUAAUGUGUCCGAGACAUUGCUGUGCUGGCGGGGAUAUACGCGAAAGCGUAGCUAAUACCGCAUACGCCCUUCGGGGAAAGCGGGGACCUUCGGGCCUCGCACUAAUGAAACGGCCGAUAUCGGAUUAGCUAGUUGGUGGGGUAACGGCUCACCAAGGCGACAAAUCCAGUAGCUGGUUUGAGAGGACGACCAGCCACACUGCAGGACUGGGCAGCCAGACUCCUACGGGGAGGCAGCAGUGGGGAAUUUUGGACAAUGGGAAACCUGGUGAUCAGCCAUCCGCGUGUGCGAUGAAGGCCUUCGGGUUGUAAGCACUUUUGGCAGGAAAGAAACGGCACGGGAUAAUACCCCGUGCAACUGACGGUACCUGCAGAAUAAGCGCAGCCCUUCACGUGCCAGCAACCGCGGUAUGCAGCUAGGUUGCAGCGUUCAAUCGGAAUUACUGAAUCUAAAGCGUGCGCAGGCGGUUCGGAAAGAAGAUGUGAAAUCCCAGAGCUUAACUUUGGAACUGCAUUUUUAACUACCGAGCUAGAGUGUGUCAGAGGGAGGUGGAAUUCCAUGUGUAGCAGUGAAAUGCGUAGAUAUGCGGAGGAACACCGAUGGUGAAGGCAGCCUCCUGGGAUAACACUGACGCUCAUGCACGAAAGCGUGGAGCAAACAGGAUUAGAUACCCUGGUAGUCACGCCCUAAACGAUGUCAACAAUGGCUGGGCCUUCGGACAUAGCGGUAGCGCAAUAACGCGUGAAGUUGACCGCCUGGAAGUGAUCACAAGAUUCAAACUCAAGAAUUCUGACGGGACCCGCACAAGCGGUGGAUGAUGUGGAUUAAUUCGUUACGCUUACGAAAAACCUUACCUACCCUUGACAUGUCUGGAAUCCCGAAGAGAUUUAGGGAGUGCUCGCAAGAGAACCGGAACACAGGUGCUGCAUGGCUGUCGUCGCUCGUGUGUGAAGUGUUGGGUUAAGUCCCGCAACGAGCGCAACCCUUGUCAUUAGUUGCUAUGAAAGGGCACUCUGGCGGACUGCCGGUGACAAACCGGAGGAAGGUGGGGAUGACGUCAAGUCCUCAUGGCCUCUUCGGGUAGGGCUUCACACGUCAUACAAUGGUCAGGACAGAGGGUCGCCAACUGCGAGGGGAGACAAUCCCAAGCCCGAUCAUGUCCGGAUCAGUCUGCAGCUCAAACCCGUCGAAGGUCAGUCGCUAGUAAUCGCGGAUCAGCAUGUCGCCGGUGAAUGCAUUCCCGGGUCUUGUACACGCCCGUCACACCAUGGGAGUGGGUUUUACCAGUAGUUUAGCCUAACCGUAAGAGGGCGAUUACAGUGACAGGAUUCAUGACUGGGGUGAAGUCAUGGCUUUCAAAAUCA